CAGGUUGUAUCCAGUCAGGUUGUACCCAGUCAGGUUGUAUUCAGUCAGGUUGUAUCCAGGUUGUAUCCAGUCAGGUUGUACCCAGUCAGGUUGUAUCCAGUCAGGUUGUACCCAGUCAGGUUGUACCCAGUCAGGUUGUAUCCAGUCAGGUUGUAUCCAGUCAGGUUGUAUCCAGUCAGGUUGUACCCAGUCAGGUUGUACCCAGUCAGGUUGUAUCCAGU